rnacentral:rRNA from 1 species
GAGCUUACUUCUCCGGAUGAGUUGCGAACGGGUGAGUAACGCGUAGGUAACCUGCCUGGUAGCGGGGGAUAACUAUUGGAAACGAUAGCUAAUACCGCAUAACAGUAGAUAUUGCAUGAUAUCUGCUUGAAAGGUGCAAUUGCAUCACUACMAGAUGGACCUGCGUUGUAUUAGCUAGUWGGUGAGGUAACGGCUCACCWAGGCGACGAUACAUAGCCGACCUGAGAGGGUGAUCGGCCACACUGGGACUGAGACACGGCCCAGACUCCUACGGGAGGCAGCAGUAGGGAAUCUUCGGCAAUGGGGGCAACCCUGACCGAGCAACGCCGCGUGAGUGAAGAAGGUUUUCGGAUCGUAAAGCUCUGUUGUAAGUCAAGAACGAGUGUGAGAGUGGAAAGUUCACACUGUGACGGUAGCUUACCAGAAAGGGACGGCUAACUACGUGCCAGCAGCCGCGGUAAUACGUAGGUCCCGAGCGUUGUCCGGAUUUAUUGGGCGUAAAGCGAGCGCAGGCGGUUUGAUAAGUCUGAAGUUAAAGGCUGUGGCUCAACCAUAGUUCGCUUUGGAAACUGUCAAACUUGAGUGCAGAAGGGGAGAGUGGAAUUCCAUGUGUAGCGGUGAAAUGCGUAG